rnacentral:rRNA from 1 species
UACGUAGGGUGCAAGCGUGGUCCGGAAUUAUUGGGCGUAAAGAGCUCGUAGGCGGUCUGUCGCGUCGGCUGUGAAAACCCGAGGCUCAACCUCGGGCCUGCAGUCGAUACGGGCAAACUAGAGUACUGCAGGGGAGACUGGAAUUCCUGGUGUAGCGGUGAAAUGCGCAGAUAUCAGGAGGAACACCGGUGGCGAAGGCGGGUCUCUGGGCAGUAACUGACGCUGAGGAGCGAAAGCGUGGGGAGCGAACAGG